AUCUAUCUAUCUAUCUAUCUAUCUAUCUAUCUAUCUAUCUAUCUAUCUAUCUAUCUAUCUAUUAAAUGUCCCAAGCCAAAUUUCAGAAAAGGUCACUUAUCUACAUAUAUUGAAAGCUAAGGAUAAUAAUUUUUAAUUAUGUUCUUGGGUUGUUUUUUUCACUUCAAGCUGCUUGAUUUCAGUCAGAGUUUAAAAAGAGUUUCAAGGCUCUAAAGGUCUGUUAGCUGAGGAGGUCAUCUAGCAGUGAGAUACAAGCUGCACUAAUUAGAACACGAUUGAGAUAAUGCACAUGGUUUCUGAUAAUACACGGUUAGUAUUAUUGCAGGAACUGGAAUGAAUGAUAAAACAGGUGAACUCCAGUAUUGAGCCUCACUUUUUGUGACAGUGUCAGUUUCCCCACCAAAAAAUGUUUAAAAAGCUUUUAAGUCUGGUUUUGAAUGUAGCUAUUGAGUCAGCACUCCGGGUAUUGAAGGGCAAAGAUUUCUUUUUUAAUCAUCCAGACCAGCUGCUGUAAACCUGAAGCCCUAAAUGCUUUUGAUAAACCUCCCUUUUACUUCCAGUUAACCGCAUCAGCAGCAGCAGCGUUUUCCCUUUCACCCCCACGCAGACGACUGCAUCGAUUUCUGACACCGAGACGGGUUUGCAAAGGUUGUGUGGCGAGAGCUCUUUGAGAAACAACAGUGGAAACAUUAGCUCUUGCCAAAUUAAUAGUCUGCACAUGUGCGAGUGGGCACCGAUUCAAGGCAUGCAUUUUUAAUGGACUGCACUUGCUGUUCACGCCGCUGACGUGUUAGAAGCAGAUGUCUGAGCCUCUGCCUGGGAUAUGAGAAUUCCUGGCAGAGCUGGAGCGCCACUUAGGAGAAGAAGCAGCCAGGGCAGCAGAGUAUCAGUUCUGUCAAGCUCCUCCUUCACUAGGCAGGGUUGGAUACCUUCCACAGCACAGGCCAUAUGUAGCCUCCCAAAUGUAUCCACAUUGAUCACAAUUGAUGAAAAUAGGGGCAGCACAGUAAUAGAUCGUAGAUCACAUUUCCAUUCUUUGUGAUUGAUUAUCUAAAAAGAACAAAGUGCUUUUGCACCUAGCUUGGUGGUACGACAUGCAAUGUGGUUAUCAGCCUUGGCAGUAAUCAAUGCUGCAAUGGUUAUAGGGGUUUGGCAACUUGCAUACAAACCCCCCCUUCUAAAAAUGUAUGCCCGCAGAAACAUGACAAAGUAUACUAAAACAGAGUAAAGCAUAGGGAAGCAUUGUAAAUCCCAGAGAGGCCACACUAUAUAUAUAUACAUAGUUUUACAUGCAUGGAGGAAAAUGUUUUGCAUUGGGGUAUAAUGCACGUUUCAUCCAGGCACAGCUUGUCUUUUCAAUGCUACUCAAGCUAUUCUGUGACUAUCAUUGGCUCUAACUGCUGUUAUUUUGUUGUCAGUAGAGAUCUUUUGGAAAAGAAGACAAGAGGGUUCUUAGUGUGUGAAAUUACAGGAUGGGUUUGCUCUUCACUGCGGAGAGAUGACACCAGUUGCAUCUCAAUGAAGAAGGGAGAGGACAGAUUGGGACAGAGAAAGAGAGAAAUCUGAUGCAAUGGAGCGUUCUCUAGGCUUGCUCAGAGAAUGAAUCCUGGGACAGUUUGAAGCUACAGCUUCACACAGCAAUCAGUGGUGUAGUCCUAAAUCUUUCUACAAGUAUCUCCACAAAGUGUCCUUCUCCAUCUUGUCAGGAUGCUUUACUUUACCGUGUGUCAGUGGCUUUGUUUGUGUUUGUGUCAUAGUCGAUACACUGUUACUGCUGUGUUAGUCAGCAUAGGUAAAGUUAACCACUGUGAUUAAAUAAUAAUAGAUAAUAAGAAAAAUACAGGCAUAUCACAUUAAACUGUCAUUAUUAAAUUAUUUAUGUCUGUAGUGUACACUAGCUAAAUAUUUUUUACACGGAAAAUCUUUUAAUAAAGAUUCUGACAACAUUUUAAAAGUUUAAAUCAGUUUGUUAUAUUGUACACUUUUAUGGUAACACAUUUAAAUCAAUAAAGGCGAUCUCAGCCACAGACAGAGAUACAGUGUUCAAC